UAAAGGUAUUCCGGUAGACGAUGGGGAUGCGUUCCAUUAGAUAGUAGGCGGGGUAACGGCCCACCUAGUCUUCGAUGGAUAGGGGUUCUGAGAGGAAGGUCCCCCACAUUGGAACUGAGACACGGUCCAAACUCCUACGGGAGGCAGCAGUGAGGAAUAUUGGUCAAUGGGCGAGAGCCUGAACCAGCCAAGUAGCGUGAAGGAUGACUGCCCUAUGGGUUGUAAACUUCUUUUAUAAAGGAAUAAAGUCGGGUAUGCAUACCCGUUUGCAUGUACUUUAUGAAUAAGGAUCGGCUAACUCCGUGCCAGCAGCCGCGGUAAUACGGAGGAUCCGAGCGUUAUCCGGAUUUAUUGGGUUUAAAGGGAGCGUAGAUGGAUGUUUAAGUCAGUUGUGAAAGUUUGCGGCUCAACCGUAAAAUUGCAGUUGAUACUGGAUAUCUUGAGUGCAGUUGAGGCAGGCGGAAUUCGUGGUGUAGCGGUGAAAUGCUUAGAUAUCACGAAGAACUCCGAUUGCGAAGGCAGCCUGCUAAGCUGCAACUGACAUUGAGGCUCGAAAGUGUGGGUAUCAAACAGGAUUAGAUACCCUGGUAGUCCACACGGUAAACGAUGAAUACUCGCUGUUUGCGAUAUACGGCAAGCGC
rnacentral:rRNA from 1 species